rnacentral:lncRNA from 1 species
UUCUACCUUGGUUCCAUGAUCUUCUAUUGUUCAAAGAUCCCUGGGACUUGGCAUGCCACACUCUUAUUGUUGGCAAUCAUUGGGCUAUCUAUAAAACUGGAGUGUAAAAAUUCUCACUAGGGACUUCUUUGACUGGGAUGAUCAGGGGAACAUCCACAACUGGGAUGUUCCUGUAUCUUUUCUGUAUAGAAAUGUGCCACAGCUAGACAAGUGACAAUCAUGGCCUUUGAAAUCAAGGAGAAGAGUGUUGAGCUACAUGUAACAUCAUCUGCAGAACUUGAAGGUUUUCCGUCCUAUACUGUGGCGAUUGAUGUUCUUCAAGCAUUUCAAGAUGAAUGUGACGAUGUGGAUGUCUACCUGUAGGUUGAUGUUGAUGAUUUCCUACCCAACUUACAUGACAAAGAACGUCUGAAGCAAGAAUGGACAGUGCUGAUUGGCAAAAUCAUUGCACAGCAUAUUCCAUCUCUCAAGUGGUUCAGUGAACACAUUCCAGCUAACAUCUCCCAUGCUUACACAACGGAACUCCAGCAGAAGUCCAACAAUAAAACGCCUGAGAAAAAGAAACUGAAGGG